ensembl:lncRNA
AUUUACAGCUAGGCACAGUGAGAGAUGGAUUUGAACCAAAAUUUCUGGUUCAGAAGCGUUCCACAUUCAAGCCAAACAUCCAUAGCUGAAUCUUACUUCUAUGAAAGAAAACAGAGGUAAAACAACUGUCAGCACCCCAUCAAGGUUUUCUAAACCAGAAGGCUGAAACGGCUGAUACUCUGCACUUUGUUUUGGAAAGGAAAAGGGGUCGAGGAUUCAAACUGUGAAGGCUGUGAUUGCAGUUCUGAAAUGUGAAAAUAUGGUUUUGAAGAAGUUGCUUUCUUCAGGGAUCUCCUGCCCUGCAAAUGAAAUUCCUUGGAUGAAUUUUGUAUUACAGUAUAAAGCAUCCACCCCAUCUGGAGGACAGAAAGAACUGGAAACCUUUCUUGUGGUAAUAUGUACUCUUUACCCUUCUCAACGGGGGUAAAGCAACAACAUGAAUAAAAAUGCUAACCAGAGCCAUAGGAAUUGUAUAUCAAUAAAAGCCUUUGGAAACAAGAUCAUAGCUCAUAAUAAUAGAAAAAAACUGUAAGUCAGAUAGUGAUCCUUAGAAAGAUGGAGCACGCAGACCCUCCUGAGUGCUUAACUUAGCCUUCCGACAUGGACUAUUCAGGAGCAGCAGGCUAUCCACAUCUCUCAUCAAUUCCUUGAAUUUUGAUAACAUUGCACAUGCCCAAAUACAUUGCACAGAGCAGUCUGAGAAUGGCUGAGAGUGACUUGAAUGCAAGAAGGGAGUGGGCAAGGAUUAACCUUUCUCAACUGCCUUUAGAGAAGCAAUGCUGUGCACUCUGGUUUUUGAGACAUCCUUGGAAUCCACACUGAAAAUCAUUUUACUUCACUUAUUUUGCUGUACUAUUUGCAUACAUUUUUCCAUCCUUAGAUAGGCUAGUGCUCCAACUGAGGGAUCCAGGAAUAGCGAGGAUGCAAAAGUACAACUGAAUCAAAUGUUUGGAGCCGUGGUUGAGAGUAAAAAUAAAUCUAAAGAUUACAUUUUCAAAAGUCUGCGUAUGUUUGACUUUGUAUUUCUGGUGUGUAUAGAAAAGUGUCCUCCUCUAGGUCUAGUUAAGGCACCUGAAGACAAUGCUUUUCAAACCCUGGGUACUACCACUUCCAGAGUCCACACAUUACUCCUCAGUCAUGUAUGUCAGCUACUCAAAUCACCUUCCCUGGACAUUUUAAUUAAGACAGCCAUACAUGAAGUGUGAAUAGGAUUCAUCCAAUCCAUUCCCUGGCUCUACACUAGUCCUGCAGAGAGACAUCAACUACUUGCUGGCAGAACUGUGCAAUGUAAAAUUUGCUCUGGUCAUUUGUAAUGAGAAAUGGGAACAUGUCUGUCCUUCAGAUGUCUACUGAAAUUUAUUAUUAGCCUCCUAAGUAAAAAAGGCAUUUUUGAAUAUUGAACAUGGAGCCGGGGCAUCAUUGUAUUUACCUCUAAAUGCAACCAUAAUAACUCUCAAAUAUAUGUUCAUCUGAAUAAUUUUGGAAAAAAAAAAGACUUUGUUUUACUUCUUUUGUAUUUUACAUAUGUUGUAGUAGUAGGUUCUAUAAAAUGGCUUAUUUGGGUGUCAUUCACUUGAUAACUCAUCUUGGGAGCUUCAAGUUACUGUGGUGUACCAUAUCAAUACUUAUGGAGAGAAUAUUUUUAUUUCAUAGUCCAUUGAGUCAAUGGAUAGAACGGUUUCAGUCUGCUGGGUUAAUGUGGGUGCUGUUGAUACACAGUAAAUGCAUUUACUGUAUUAAAGAGCCUCACUUUUUUUUUUUUUUUCAUGAAAUGUCAUAUACUCUAUAUUCAGUCCAAUAUCUUGACAAAAAUAAGACAAUUAUUUGCUUUUCAAAAUAAGAAAAGCAAUUAAUUUAUACUGUAAAUUAUUUGCAAGCUUUGCCGUCUAGAUUAAAAGGGAAAAAUAGUUCUUUUUUCUGAAAUUAUGAUAGCCCAGAGAGUAUAUCCAAAAGGUCAGUGCUGCACAUAUCUACUCAUAUAAGGGAUAAUUAUGCACACAAAUUGUUCUGCUUUGAUGGUUGAGAUUAUUUUCAUUAAUAAAGUUUUACAAGGUC